AUUGAACGCUGGCGGCAGGCCUAACACAUGCAAGUCGAGCGAGCGGCGGACGGGUGAGUAAUGUAUGGGGCUGGCCCGAUAGAGGGGGAUAACUACUGGAAACGGUGGCUAAUACCGCAUACUAUCGGAUAACCCAUAUGGGAUUAGCUAGUAGGUGGGGUAAAGGCUCACCUAGGCGACGAUCUCUAGCGGGUCUGAGAGGAUGAUCAGCCACACGGGGACUGAGACACGGCCCAGACUCCUACGGAGGCAGCAGUGGGGAAUAUGGUACAAUGGGCGAAAGCCGGAUGCAGCCACGCCGCGUGUAUGAAGAAGGCCUUAGGGUUGUAAAGUACUUUCGGCGGGGAGGCGUUACCCGCCGAAGAAGCACCGGCUAACUCCGUGCCAGCAGCCGCGGUAAUAC
rnacentral:rRNA from 1 species